AACAGUCAGAAUCUAAUGGUAAUUGAAUACCAUUUCUCUUUUAGCAUGUUCUUUUUUCCUCUUCUGGAAGUUGUAGAAUGCUCGCUCCAGCAUCACAUAUACUAAAAUAGAAGUUGAAGACCUCUGUUUAGUUUGACUAUCUGCCAUCUCAAUGAAGCUGCAUCUACAACAUUCAUGUCAUCUGUCACUCCUUCAAUUGUUGGAUCUAUAUCUGAAAUGCCAUACCUGACGUUGUCAUGAUGAGGAAUAGAAGUGGCAGCAGCAGACCCACCAUGCAGCACAGGUCUUCCUGUUUACUCUCUGCCUUCACCCUCAUCUGGAUCAGGUAUCCCUUUUGUUUCUUUCAUAUGCCUGCCAUGCUGACCUUGGACAUCUUUGAUUAUCUCCUUUCCAUAUUGUGAGGUGGGUGUAGGAACUUUGCUUUUCU
rnacentral:lncRNA from 1 species